CCAGCUGAUCCCACUGGAGAACACUGCUAUGGGAAUUCGACUAAGCCACGCAAGUCUAAUGAGCUCAACCACGAGAGUUCUUGGCAGACGGCUCAGUAACACGUGGACAACCUACCCUAGGGAGGCACUAAACUCGGGAAACUGAGGGUAAGAUGCCGUAGGAAACCUAUGUUGGAAUACAGGGUUUUCGAUAUAACAGUCAUCAUGUUGAUGUAGUCGCCUUAGGAUGGGUCUGCGCCGGAUUAGGUUGUUGGCGGGGUAACUGCCCACCAAGCCUUCGAUCCGUACGGGCCUUGUAAGAGGGAGCCCGGAGAAGGGAACUGAGAAAAGGUCCCUAGCCCUACGGGGUGCAGCAGGCGCGAAACCUUUACACUACGCGAAAGCGUGAUAGGGGGGUUCCCAGUGUUAGCUAUGCUAACUUUUGUUAAGUGUAAAUAACUUAGCGAAUAAGUGGGGGGCAAUAUACGUGCCAGCCGCCGCGGUAACACGUAAUCCACAAGUGGUGUUCGUGAAUAUUUGGCCUAAAACAUCCGUAGCCUGUUUGGUAAGUCUUUUGUGAAAUCAACCAGCCUAACUGGUUGAAUUGCGAGAGAUACUGCCAGACUAGAGGUAGGGAGACGUCAAGGGUAUUUCUUGGGUACCGGUGAAAUGGGAUAAUCCAAGAAGGACCACCUGUAGCGAAGGCGCUUGACGAGAACUAACCUGACGGUGAGGGAUGAAAGCUGGGGGAGCGACCCGGAUUAGAUACCCGGUUAGUCCCAGCUGUAAACGAUGCAGACUAGGUGUGGCAUGAACUACGGGUUCAUGCUGUGCCGCAGGGAAGCCGUUAAGUCUGCUGCCUGAGGAGUAUGGUCGCAAGACUGAAACUUAACGGAAUUGGCGGGGAAGCACUACAAGGGGUGGAUGCUGCGGUUUAAUCGGAUGCAACGCCAAAGAAACUUACCAGGGGCGACAGCAGAAUGAUGGUCACUUUAAAGGGGUUACCUGACACGCUGAGAGGUGCUGUAUGGCCAUCGUCAGCUCGUGCCGUGAGGUGUCCUAUUAACUUAGGUAACGGGCGAGACCCAUACCAUUAUUUGCCAAUCUUUCUUCGGAGAGAUGCACUGUAAUGGGACUGCUAGCGCAAGCUGGAGGAAGGUAUGGGCGACGAUAGGUCCGUAUGACCCGAAUCUCCUGGGCAACACGCGGCAUACAAUGGCCGGGACAAUGAGUCGCAAACCCGAAAGGGGGAGUUAAUCUGUCAAACCCGGUCUCAGUUCGGAUCGUGCUCUGUAACUCGGGCACGUGAAGGUGGAAUCCCCAGUAAUCGCGCGUCAUUAACACGCGGUGAAUACGUCCCUGCUUCUUACACACACCGCCCAUCAAGCCAUUCGAGCGAGGUUGAGAUGAGGUUUAUUCUACGGAAUGAUUCGAUUCUUGAUUUUGUAAGAAGGGC
rnacentral:rRNA from 1 species